UUACGGGGCGGCACCUUUGUGGACCGAGUGGAAAAGAAGGACGACCACAUCCUCAUGUACCUGUCAAAGGUUGCCAAGAAGAGGGAGCUGGUAUACCAGAUGACCAUCCGACAGGAUCUGCCAGUGAACAACCUGAAGCCAGCAGUGGCCAAGGUGUACGACUACUACACACCCAGUGACCAGGCUGAAGUGGAGUACUCCUACCCAUGUGCAUAGAAGAAGGACCUGACCUGUUGACCUGUGUGUGUGUGUGUGUGUGUGUGUGUGUGUGUGUGUGUGUGUGUGUGUGUGUGUGUGUGUGUGUGUGUGUGUGU